AGAGAGAUUAGAUAAUAUAUUGUAAUUUCAUCACGGUGUUGUGACUUUGCCCAGCAGUGUUCAUCAGUGGUGGAGUUCUAAGGGAUGUUUCCACAUGGGGACGGAGAUCCAAGAGCUGAUGAAGAGAUCCAUGGACAGGAGACUGAAGGAAGCCCUGGGAAGGACAAGGGAGCUGUUUGGACACCAGAAGAGCCUUCUCGUUUUCCAGUGUUGUGGAAUCGAUUUCCAGAGUGUUUCCAUUUCCUGUGAUAAAAGAAAGGUGUUUCCAGGACUCCAGCAGCUGGACAUCCCCUAACAUGCCAGGCAGGAGCCUUGCAGAUAAGUAUGCCAAACUUACCAGCCUCCUGUCUCUAGUCUUUUUGGCUCUGAGAAAGGCUAGCAUGGGAUAGGUGCUUAGUAAAUGUUCAUGUUGAGUGGGAUUGAAUAGAAUAUAGAGAAGGCAGAGUCAUAGGAUCUUGGGUCAGGAAGGAAACUUGAGAGGUCAUCUCCAUUGCUUUGCCUCUAGGUGGCAUUCCCGAGAGAUGAGAGACCAUCUCCUUUGUUUUGGAGGGUCCCAGAGGACCUGGUCCAACUCUCAUUCCAGGAUCUCUUUAGUUCCAAGCUCAAUUUCUCAUGUUGGGUCAAAGGUAUUGAGAUCCUGUUUGUUCUUGGAGUGUGGAAGCUGAGUAACCCUGUUGACUGAGGUUCUUAUACUCUUGUUUCCGCUGUGACUUUGGUCAGACCCUGAGGAUUUGAUGUCCCUUUCCUUAUAUUCAACAAAUAUUGCUAGCCAACAUACACUUUAUGUAAACCCUUAGGUAAAAGUCAUCUUAUUUUGGCUUUGCAUACAAUGUAGCACAAUGUCUGUGGCAGAUAACAAUACAGGCUAUAUCUGGACCUCAAUUUCCUUAUCUGCAACAUGAGGCAGUUGGACUAGAUGACCUUUAAAAUCCUUCCUAGUUCUAGAACUCUGAUGAUCAUAGCCAAGUAUACUUGUUCCCAAGACUAGAUCCGGGAUAGAAUCUCCACUCUCCUUCACAGCUGUGUAACCAGGAACCAUAGGACAUCUUGGGGGAUAGAAACUUGUAUAUGGCCUGACCCCUCUGAUCUACUUUUCACAUAGACUUAGAGCUUUCUUAGAUUCUGUUGCAAUGUGAGAAGGAUGCACAGAAUUAUAGACUGUCAGAGCUGGGAGACACCUUAGAUUACAGAGUAUCAGAUGUGCGAGGAAGCUUAGUAUAAGGGAUAUCAGGGCUGGGAGGGCCCUCAGAACAAAGAAUGUCAGAGCUAGGAAGGCACUUAGAACAAAGAAUGCA
rnacentral:lncRNA from 1 species